rnacentral:rRNA from 1 species
UACGUAGGUGGCAAGCGUUGUCCGGAUUUAUUGGGUUUAAAGGGGGCGUAGGCGGCCCUGUAAGUCAGUGCUGAAAUACCCCGGCUUAACCGGGGGGGUGGCAUUGAUACUGCAGGGCUUGAGUACAGAUGAGGUAGGCGGAAUUGACGGUGUAGCGGUGAAAUGCAUAGAUAUCGUCAAGAACACCGAUAGCGAAGGCAGCUUACUGGGCUGUAACUGACGCUGAUGCACGAAAGUGUGGGGAUCAAACCGG